AUUGAACGCUGGCGGCAGGCCUAACACAUGCAAGUCGAGCGAGCGGCGGACGGGUGAGUAAUGUAUGGGGACUGCCCGAUCGAGGGGGAUAACUACUGGAAACGGUAGCUAAUACCGCAUACUAUCGGAAAACCCAUAUGGGAUUAGCUAGUAGGUGGGGUAAAGGCUCACCUAGGCGACGAGCUCUAGCUGGUCUGAGAGGAUGAUCAGCCACACGGGGACUGAGACACGGCCCAGACUCCGCCGGAGGCAGCAGUGGGGAAUAUUGCACAAUGUGCGCAAGCCUGAUGCAGCCAUGCCGCGUGUAGGAAGAAGGCCUUAGGGUUGUAAAGUACUUUCAGCGGGGAGGCGUUACCCGCAGAAGAAGCACCGGCUAACUCCGUGCCAGCAGCCGCGGUAAUUC
rnacentral:rRNA from 1 species